rnacentral:lncRNA from 1 species
GGGAGCAGAGGUGGGGAGGCUCUCUAGGCUCACAUAGUCAAGUAUCUAUCGCAGAUGACUAUUAAGUUGGCUGUUUUGGCUGACGUAUUGAUUACUUUUGAGAACAAAGUAGUGAGCCUGUCUUGACUUUUGAGUAGUUUCAAAUAAAAACCACUUUGCUGCCUCACAAGGUGUUUCCUACAAGUUGUUUAGAUCCUAAAAUACAAAUAAAAAUUGCAUAAAAUUG